rnacentral:rRNA from 1 species
AUUGAACGCUGGCGGCAGGCCUAACACAUGCAAGUCGAACGAGUGGCGGACGGGUGAGUAAUGUCUGGGAAACUGCCCGAUGGAGGGGGAUAACUACUGGAAACGGUAGCUAAUACCGCAUACUAUCGGAUGUGCCCAUAUGGGAUUAGCUAGUAGGUGGGGUAACGGCUCACCUAGGCGACGAUCCCUAGCUGGUCUGAGAGGAUGACCAGCCACACUGGAACUGAGACACGGCCCAGACUCCUACGGGAGGCAGCAGUGGGGAAUAUUGCACAAUGGGCGCAAGCCUGAUGCAGCCAUGCCGCGUGUAUGAAGAAGGCCUUCGGGUUGUAAAGUACUUUCAGCGGGGAGGCGUUACCCGCAGAAGAAGCACCGGCUAACUCCGUGCCAGCAGCCGCGGUAAUAC